AAUGAACGCUGGCGGCAGGCCUAAAACAUGCAAGUCGAACGCCCUAGCAAUAGGGAGUGGCGCACGGGUGAGUAACAUGUGGGAAUAUGCCUUUUGGUACGGAACAACGUUUGGAAACGAACGCUAAUACCGUAUGGUCCCUCCGGGGUAAAGAUUUAUCGCCAAAAGAUUAGCCCGCACUAGAUUAGCUAGUUGGUAAGGUAAUGGCUUACCAAGGCGACGACCUAUAGCUGCUCUGAGAGGAAGAUCAGCCACACUGGGACUGAGACACGGCCCAGACUCCUACGGGAGGCAGCAGUUAGGAAUAUUGGACAAUGGGCGCAAGCCUGAUCCAGCCAUGCCGCGUGAGUGAUGAAGGCCUUCGGGUUGUAAAGCUCUUUAGUCCACGAAUAUAAUGACUGUAGUGGAAGAAUAAGCCCCGGCUAACUUCGUGCCAGCCGCCGCUGUAAGAC
rnacentral:rRNA from 1 species